rnacentral:rRNA from 1 species
GUUAAGUCUCUGGGGAAAUCUUUAGGUUCACUGUGAGGAUUGUCGGGGAAACUGACGAGCUUGGAGCCGGGAGAGGUUGGAGGUACUCCGGGGGUAGGGGUGAAAUCUUGUAAUCCCGGAGGGACCACCGGUGGCGAAGGCUUCUUACUGGAACGG